rnacentral:lncRNA from 1 species
CUGGUAUUAAAUGCGUGUUGGGAAGUGGUGGCUAUGUGGAUCCAUCGAACAAGAUGGUGUGCUCUAUAUCGGAUUUUCUAUAUUUCAUAUAGCGCACAAAAAAAUUUCUCUCCAAAAUAACCAAAAUUAUAUUGAUGUUUUGUAUAAAAUACCUACGUCUCGUUUAGUCAUAUACAAGGAAAAGAACUGUGCCAUGCAUGGGAAGAUACAAUUAAUAGAUAGAUGUUGGAUGUU